rnacentral:sRNA from 1 species
UCCCAGCCCCGAUUGAAGUGAAAAGCCUUUUUGAAAAAAGACCUAAUUUUUCUUGGGUUUAUAAAGCGACCAACGGAAGCUUUUUAAAAACAUAGAAAAAUGGGAUUUUGAAAAAAGCUUGUAACGAAAAGCGGGAUCAGCU